rnacentral:rRNA from 1 species
CAUUUUCAGGAAAUAGCUUUGAUUUCGUUUUUUUAAACUAAAACCGUACUUAAACCGACACAGGUAAAUAAAUUUAGUAAAUUAAGAUGUUGAGUUAACUGUUGUUGAAGGAACUCGGCAAAAUGACUCCGUAACUUCGGGAUAAGGAGUGGCUUUUUUUGGGCAACCUUUUUAAGCUCACAGAAAAUCGGGAACAGCGACUGUUUAAUAAAAACACAGGUUUCUGCUAAUUUGUAAAAAGAUGUAUAGAAACUGACGCCUGCCCAGUGCUAAAAAACUAACGAAAAAAGUUUUGGCUUUAAUCCUAACUUUUAGUAAACGGCGGCUGUAACUCUGACGGUCCAAAGGUAGCGAAAUUCCUUGUCGGGUAAGUUCCGACCUGCACGAAUGGUGCAACGAUCUGGACACUGUCUCAGCCAUGAGCUCGGUGAAAUUGUAGUAUCGGUGAAGAUGCCGAUUACCCGCAGCGGGACGAAAAGACCCCGUGAACCUUUACUAUAGCUUCGUAUUGACUUUGGAUAAGUAAUGUGUAGGAUAGGUGGGAGACUUCGAUCAUGUGUCGCCAGGCAUGUGUGAGUCAUUGUUGAAAUACCACCCUUUACUUAUUUGAAGUCUAACGUCUAACGACGAACAGUGCGUGGUGGGUAGUUUGACUGGGGUGGUCGCCUCCAAAAGAGUAACGGAGGCUUCUAAAGGUGCCCUCAAUACGGUUGGCAAUCGUGUGUAGAGUGCAAUGGCACAAGGGCGCUUGACUGAGAGACAUACAGGUCGAUCAGGUUGGAAACAAGAGCAUAGUGAUCCGGUGGUUCCGCAUGGAAGGGCCAUCGCUCAAAGGAUAAAAGGUACUCCGGGAUAACAGGCUGAUCUCCCCCAAGAG